GUCGGAGUCCUCCAUGGGCUCGGGUUCCUCUUCCACGGGUUCCUCCUCCAUAGGCUCCUCCUCCGGAUCAGAUUCCUCAGGUAGAGGCACCAUCUCCUCCUCCUCAUCAUCAUCAUAAAUAGGGGCAACUACCGAUAUAGGCUCCGCUAUCAAGGGUGCCUCAUAGACUGCAUGGAUAUCACGCGGCUCCUCCUCUACUAUUCGGCUAGGUCCUCCCAUGUCAGUAAUCCUACAAUCACCAACAUAAGACAAGACAAACAACAACU
rnacentral:lncRNA from 1 species